rnacentral:rRNA from 1 species
GACGAACGCUGGCGGCGUGCUUAACACAUGCAAGUCGAACGGUAAGGCCCUUCGGGGUACACGAGUGGCGAACGGGUGAGUAACACGUGGGUGAUCUGCCCUGCACUUCGGGAUAAGCCUGGGAAACUGGGUCUAAUACCGGAUAGGACCACUGCCUGCAUGGGUGGUGGUGGAAAGCUUUUGCGGUGUGGGAUGGGCCCGCGGCCUAUCAGCGUGUUGGUGGGGUGAUGGCCUACCAAGGCGACGACGGGUGGCCGGCCUGAGAGGGUGGCCGGCCACACUGGGACUGAGAUACGGCCCAGACUCCUACGGGAGGCAGCAGGGGGGAAUAUUGCACAAUGGGCGCAAGCCCGAUGCAGCGACGCCGCGUGAGGGAUGACGGCCUUCGGGUUGUAAACCUCUUUCAGCACCGACGAAGCGCAAGUGACGGUAGUAGCAGAAGAAGGACCGGCCAACUACGUGCCAGCCGCCGCCGUAA